rnacentral:rRNA from 1 species
AGUGAACGCUGGCGGCAGGCCUAACACAUGCAAGUCGAGCGGCAGCGGGUCCUUCGGGAUGCCGGCGAGCGGCGGACGGGUGAGGAAUGCGUCGGAAUCUGCCUUUUUGUGGGGGAUAACGUAGGGAAACUUACGCUAAUACCGCAUACGACCUACGGGUGAAAGUGGGGGACCGCAAGGCCUCACGCAGAAAGAUGAGCCGACGUCGGAUUAGCUAGUUGGCGGGGUAAAGGCCCACCAAGGCGACGAUCCGUAGCUGGUCUGAGAGGAUGAUCAGCCACCCUGGAACUGAGACACGGUCCAGGCUCCUACGGGAGGCAACAGUGGGGAAUAUUGGACAAUGGGCGCAAGCCUGAUCCAGCCAUGCCGCGUGUGUGAAGAAGGCCUUCGGGUUGUAAAGCACUUUUGUCCGGAAAGAAAUCCUGUCGGCUAAUACCCGGCGGGGAUGACGGUACCGGAAGAAUAAGCACCGGCUAACUUCGUG